ACUUCGGAUCCGGAAGUGGGGGACAAAUAUUAUACAAAAAGUCUGCCACCCGACUUGACCUUCCCUUUAUCAUGUUAUGAUCGAACACUAGCCUUGAAUUCCUCACCAAUGAUUGAAAAGAAGGAUAAAGGACUCCCUUGGACAUCAGGAAGAAAAAAUCAGGAAAUCAAAUUGAAACGACUUUAUGACAUUAGCUUCUUUCGGACCUCUAGAUCGAAAGAAUACCAACCCCA
rnacentral:lncRNA from 1 species